rnacentral:sRNA from 1 species
GUGAUUUUUAGUUUGCGCCCUCGGCUGGGGGCGGCGGGAGAGGCAACUUCCUCUGGUCUACUGGGGUGCGUCCUCCGCGCCCAAUAGGAUAUUGCCGGGUUGAGAAAUGUACAGGCCUCUUCCCUGGAGUCCUCCUUCCUAGUCCUCCUUGCUUUUGCUUUCUUGCUUCCCCAGGAGUUCAAACCUCCAAGCCGCGGAAGAACUCAGCUGCUUUGAAAGGACUUAAGGCAGUGUGUGGAGGACGUCUCCCUUCUCCGUCGGUAAAGAGAGGUACAUCCACCCUGGGAUGGGAUUACCCCUCCCCUCCUCCUCCUCUUUCUGCUCUUCUUCUAGCCCCAGCAGCUGCUUGAUGGAGACCUCUUCUCCCCGCAUCUGAAUGGAACGUCUUUGCUCAGAGUCUACAGAAUGUCAAAACUGAGGCUCCUCAGAGCUACAGCUUUAAGAACCACUCCACACAAAGAGGCAGCUGGUUGCUUUAACGGAAACUGCCUUUAAGCUUCAAGAACUGAAGUCUUGGGGAAUACAUUUAUAAGGAGCAGAGAAAAAUGCAUUUCCAAGCUGUAUGUUCUUGGGAAAUACAAAAUAAAAUUUACCUGAAAAAAUGAGAAUUAACCUUAAUUAUGUAGCUGUUGAUUAAAGACGCCCCCAUUUAGAAUUUUAUGUUCCAUCUAUAAAUGCAUUUUGCAAAUUGCUGAUUGCUUAUCUGUACCCAUAUCAAAGGAAAAACAAAACAAAACAAAACAAAGGUGAAGCAUUAGAUUUCUGAAAGUUGAAGCACCUUAACUCAUCCACUUGGCAAGUUAAUUUGUUGUUUGCUUGUGUGCACACAAUUUUGUUUAUUUUUAACUCCCAAGUAGUCCAUUGCAAUGCACGUUCAGUGGCAUUUGACAUUGACGUUGUUUGAAUCCAUGGGUAUUCAUUUCUUUUCCCUUCUUCAAGCUACAGAUCUCAUCAUUAAAAAUGCCCCACUCUUUGUAGUCCCAAAGUGAAUAUUUUAUAAACAGGUUCGAAGACUUCUAACAUCAUAUCACCCAGGCAGUGUAAGCUGUUUCCUGGAUUACUUAGAGUAAAUUGUCAAAGGAAAGCCUGCUAAAUUUUGAGUGUUGAAUGUGAGGCCAGAAGAACGUAUAAAAUAUAAAGGAGACAUUUCAGGGACAAGCUAGACAGACCCUGUGUGGAGGAGUUAAAAUCUCAGGAACAGAACAUGAAGGGCUUGUGCCUUUUUAGUUCACUUCCUUGAAAUUCCGUUGUCAAAGUACCAAAGGUUAAAUAAAUUUCUAACAAUGAAACCUGAA